CACUUUAUACUGUGAAACUGCGAAUGGCUCAUUAAAUCAGUUAUCGUUUAUUUGAUAGUACCUUACUACAUGGAUACCUGUGGUAAUUCUAGAGCUAAUACAUGCUAAAAACCCCGACUUCAGGAAGGGGUGUAUUUAUUAGAUAAAAAACCAACGCCCUUCGGGGCUCCUUGGUGAAUCAUAAUAACUUAACGAAUCGCAUGGCCUUGCGCCGGCGAUGGUUCAUUCAAAUUUCUGCCCUAUCAACUUUCGAUGGUAGGAUAGUGGCCUACCAUGGUGGCAACGGGUAACGGGGAAUUAGGGUUCGAUUCCGGAGAGGGAGCCUGAGAAACGGCUACCACAUCCAAGGAAGGCAGCAGGCGCGCAAAUUACCCAAUCCCGAUACGGGGAGGUAGUGACAAUAAAUACUGAUACGGGGCUCUUUUGGGUCUCGUAAUUGGAAUGAGAACAAUUUAAAUCCCUUAACGAGGAACAAUUGGAGGGCAAGUCUGGUGCC
rnacentral:rRNA from 1 species